ACUUCCCUGACGAGUCAUAAAUAAGACGAAACGCGCGUCUUGGAU
rfam:Schistosoma margrebowiei strain Zambia genome assembly, scaffold: SMRZ_scaffold0001626